rnacentral:tRNA from 1 species
UGCGCGGUAGUAUAAGGGUUAGUACGUGGGACUCAUGAUCCCAAGUUAGGAGUUCGAAUCUCCUCUGCGCGU